rnacentral:rRNA from 1 species
CGAACGGGUGAGUAACGCGUGAGGAACCUGCCUCAAAGAGGGGGACGACAGUUGGAAACGACUGCUAAUACCGCAUAAGCCCACGGGUCGGCAUCGACCAGAGGGAAAAGGAGCAAUCCGCUUUGAGAUGGCCUCGCGUCCGAUUAGCUAGUUGGUGAGGUAACGGCCCACCAAGGCAACGAUCGGUAGCCGGACUGAGAGGUUGAACGGCCACAUUGGGACUGAGACACGGCCCAG